GGCGACCAACUGUGAUAAUUCUCGGUCGCCGUAAUGGCGUAUUUAUGUGCUUCGCCGAUCAUCCUGUUAGACAGCCACCCGUAAACUGAUUCC